CCUACGGGGGGCUGCAGUGAGGAAUAUUGGUCAAUGGGCGCGAGCCUGAACCAGCCAAGUAGCGUGAAGGAUGACUGCCCUACGGUUUGUAAACUUCUUUUAUAAAGGAAUAAAGUGAGGCACGUGUGCCUUUUUGUAUGUACUUUAUGAAUAAGGAUCGGCUAACUCCGGGCCAGCAGCCGCGGUAAUCGGGGGGUUCGGAGCGUUAUCCGGAUUUAUUGGGUUUAAAGGGAGCGUAGAUGGUUUGUUAAGUCAGUUGUGAAAGUUUGCGGAUCAACCGUAAAAUUGCAAUUGAUACUGGCAGCCUUGAGUACAGUUGAGGUAGGCGGAAUUCGUGGUGUAGCGGUGAAAUGCUUAGAUAUCACGAAGAACUCCGAUUGCGAAGGCAGCCUACUAAACUGCCACUGACAUUGAUGCUCGAAAGUGUGGGUAUCAAACAGGAUUAGAUACCCCAGUAGUC
rnacentral:rRNA from 1 species